AGUUUCAGAAACGGCAGCCGAGAGUAAAAGGCACGGCUUCUCAAACAGCCUGUGUUACAGCCUGGCCGCCGCGCAAUCCCGGCAGUGACAGAGAUUUGACCAGCUCCGAGAAGGGGAAGCAGUGAGAGGCGACUACAACGAAUUUGGGAAAGCGACAGGUCGCAUCAAGCGAGAAGUGACUGAAUUCCCCCGUCCCUCCAGCUCCGGAUGCAAGUGAGCGGAGAGGGGAGAUGCACUAGGUCCUAGCCUGCUGUGACUCCAUCUAGAAGACAGAGCCUGCUGAACCCACCCCAGAAAUGGAAGACAAUGUGAGCAGACAAAGGCAUAACCAGAUCCCAGGGCCAGACGUUGACAUUAGAAAAAUCCAAACUGGAACUAAGACAACUUGUGAAUGGUGAAGUGACAAUGCUGGACGGAGCUGGCUGCUGGGAUACGGUCUGGAAGCGUAGAGGGAAAGCCCCGGCUGCUGAAGACAUAGGUAGCUAUGUAGUGGAACUCCAUUACACAUGUGCCUUCUUCAAGAAUGUCUCUUGUCCUCCUGUGGAGUCAUGAGAUAUGAAAGCUCUCCGAUUCUGGCAGGGAACGGCCAUCAGCUUCUGAUCCAGGAAGUGAUCAGAACAAUUUGUAGAAAAGAUUAUUAAUAUUCAGCAAUAUAAAGUCUGUUAGACACUAACCCAUAAAAGUUGCUUGUAUUUAUGAAGAGGAGGGAUAUAUUGCCAUCUAGUGCCUAGUCAAUAAAAUCGACAAGACUCAUUUUAACAUCUUUGGUAUCAACCUGUUUCUUCAAACCUAUCAGUGCCUAAAAGAGACGUGACCCCCUAAUAUUUAUCAUCCUGAAAGAAAGCAGCGAACAGAGCUAAAAUAGAACUUGCUUGAGAAGCUGGCUGCACAGUACCUCUGACAAAAGAACGGUUAGGACAAGGAGUAAGAUUAAGUCUCAAGCGUUACUGAGGCCUGCAGAAAAAUCUGUCAAGUGAAGCAAGAUCAGAUACACGCACAAAACAGAAAUGACAGUUCACGUUUAUAAUUUUAUCUACAUUUGUGUUGGCUUCGUAACUCACAACUAAUGACCCAGCUAAGCCGUCCUGGCGUGCACCGUACGGAGUUCAGUUGUGGAUUACUGCAAUGUGCUAUUAAUCAAGACCUAACAUGAGCCAAGUCCCUAAAUCUAUUACAAAUUAGGACAGUUAUUAGCCCAAGCUACUAUAUAGAUGCAUUUUCCUUCUCCCCAAGAGAGAGUUUUAAGCUCCUCUGAUCCUUUAAAAGGAGCAGAUAUGAACGUCUGAACUGUUCUGCUUAGUUUAACUUCUUUCCUAAUGAGCUAAUAUCCACCAAGUCCAUACACAUUCAUUUUGGGCCCAGUUUUACGCUGAGUGAGACAGGUGCAACUGUCACUGGAGGUAAAUGGGAGAAUGACAUCAUGACACGGGGGAGAAUUUGACCGUCUGUCUAGCCCAGGGGUCAGCAACCUUUCAGAAGUGGUGUGCCGAGUCUUCAUUUAUUCACUCUAAUUUAAGGUUUCG